GAGCUGCUCAUUUCUGCUCCACAGGACAAAUGAACCAGCCGCUAAUGGAUGAGACACACCUGGAAUAACUGACUGAAGGCUGGACAGUCCUGAUCCCCAAGGAUCCCCUGAAGGGACCGGUCCCACCCAACUACAAGAUGAUAACCUGCCUCAGUACCACAUGGAAGCUCCUGUCAGACAUCAUAGAGGCUAAGAUUGUCAUCUCAACUCGUCAGUAACCCAAGGCAGACAUGGCUUCGCUGGCCAUUUGGACAAAGAUGACUCCUUUCCUUCGGUGAGAAAUCAAAGAGUUUGAGGGGUCUGUUAGUCCGAAUGAAGAACGAGGAGCUGAUGGGUGAGGAGACGACGUGAAGCUCACACUUCCACUCUGACAAGAUCAUGUGUGUUUCUGCUGCUCAGUGAAGCUCAUUGAUGGUCUGAGAACACGAGCUUGAAGAUGUUUGUUCUUUCUUUACUAACAGCUAACGAAUAAGCCUCAGUGAGAUGUUCUACCUGGAACAUGUUUCCACAUGGAAGGUUCCCUGUAACGUUAUGUCUGCAGAAUGAGAUGAAGCACAGAGUACAGAGUGUGAGAGGAAGCUUGUUCACCAGUCUGACAGUUAAGAUUCAUUCAAACAUUCACACCAGGCUGACACUGUGUGGACACUUCACAAGGAAAAUAUGAGCUCUGUUUUUAGUCUGAUACAAGAAUACAGUUGUUUACUAAAUCAUGUCACAGGAUCUGUUAUUGAUGCUCAUCAGAAAGUUUAGGCCUGGGUCAUCUCACUGAGGUCUAAGUGAUAGUCUGGGAAUGUUGAUGCCAUUUUCCAAAGAAAUGAUUGUUCAGGAGGAGGUGACUGUGAGAUAGAAAGCUCAGAGUUAUUGCACCUGCUGUCUGGAACAGGACCCAGAUGUUUCUCCAACAUUAUAACCUCAUAAUGACGACUAUGCAGAGUGUGUUGUUCCUCAGACAAAAGCUGCAGACUGUCAGGAACCAUCAGCGCUUCAGACCAGAUCAGCUUUUUGAUUUUUAACAAACCACAGAAAAGAAGAAUAUGCUUUCAUGAUUAAAAAGGAAGUGGUCCCAAGGAUGUAUGUAUGCAGCAGCAAAUCCACAACAAAGGUUUGAAAACUGAAUAUCAAAAAUCCAAACUACAGCAGACAACCUGACAAAGAAUUGAGAGGAAAAUGAGACACAGGCCAACAGGAUCAAACUAAUAAGUCACAGGGGAACUAAACACAAUGCACAAACUACACAUGAAAUCAAACACAUUAGUGUAACAGGAGAUGUAACCUCAUUGUAUUUUAGUCACAGUGCAUUCAGAAUAUUUGUUUAUCUAUCUGUGAGGGUUUACUGACAGAAAGUAGACGUUGACUCUGUGUGUGGACCGCUCACUUUACUGUCUGGUUUCAUGUAAAGAUGAAGCAAUGUGCUCAUGAAUUCUGCUUUUCAAUUCUUCCAUUGGACGUAUUUGAGGAAAAUGAUGGUGUCUGAGCUGUUUCUCAUCUUCAGCUUCAUAAUAACAGAUUCUCUGAGGGGUUCAGGUCAGGAGAGCUGACCAGUCAACCACUGUAAUAAGCGUUUGGUUUAGUUUGGCUGUGAGC
ensembl:lncRNA